rnacentral:rRNA from 1 species
GGUGGAUUAGUGGCGAACGGGUGAGUAACACGUGAGCAACCUGCCCCUGACUCUGGGAUAACAGCCGGAAACGGUUGCUAAUACCGGAUAUGCAUCAUGGCCGCAUGGUCUGUGGUGGGAAAGAUUUUUCGGUUGGGGAUGGGCUCGCGGCCUAUCAGCUUGUUGGUGAGGUAGUGGCUCACCAAGGCGUCGACGGGUAGCCGGCCUGAGAGGGUGACCGGCCACACUGGGACUGAGACACGGCCCAGACUCCUACGGGAGGCAGCAGUGGGGAAUAUUGCACAAUGGGCGGAAGCCUGAUGCAGCAACGCCGCGUGAGGGAUGACGGCCUUCGGGUUGUAAACCUCUUUUAGCAGGGAAGAAGCGAAAGUGACGGUACCUGCAGAAAAAGCGCCGGCUAACUACGUGCCAGCAGCCGCGGUAAUACGUAGGGCGCAAGCGUUAUCCGGAAUUAUUGGGCGUAAAGAGCUCGUAGGCGGUUUGUCGCGUCUGCUGUGAAA